UAUUUUUAAGCCAUUAACUUUGUUUCUCAUCAAUUUAGGAAAACUACUCACAGCCAGUGCUGGUAGUGAUCAACCAAUUGGUGAUUACUAUGGUCCACUUGUGGUUGUUUCGGUAGUUGCUGCUUUGGCAAUCAUGUCCACAAUUGUGCUGUUACUCAUUCUAACCAGAAGACGUGUACAUCAAACGGCGUCGAUAACGCCACCACGCAAAAAUGAUGCCGCCUAUGACAAUCCCUCGUACAAGGUGGAAAUACAACAGGAGACAAUGAAUCUGUAGCAUUUCUAAGCUACCGAGGCGUGCGUGACGGGAUGCAAUGCCUCAACAGGCCUGGAAGCC